GCCCUACAACACUAGCUGUAUAUUUGUGCAUCUUAUAGAAGUCACUAGCUAAGUUUGUACAACACUGAGAGAGCUUCUGAUUUGAGGGGAUUUGCCUUUUUAUUUCAUUUACAAAUCAAUCAGAGUAAAACCUGCGGUUUAGAAACUGUUCUCCUACUUCCACAAGUAAGUCUUUAUAACAUCUGAGUAGUGUUCUACAUUGGAUUUGGGUGAUUCUUACAUUAAAUAUUGCAGAAUGCAGCAAUAUAUCUCUUUUCCCCUCUUUUUUCCUCCCUUCUCUUUUUCCCUCUCUUCUCUCUGUUCCCCUCUUGUCCCCUCCUCUCCCUGUUUAUAUACACAUAUAAACCACAUACAUUACUAUAUUACUUUUGCUCUAUGUGGUCAAUAUUGCAAAUCCCCUUAUCCCCAACCGACUGCCUAACAUUGACUACC
rnacentral:lncRNA from 1 species